rnacentral:rRNA from 1 species
GGUUACGGUAAGAGAUGGGCAUGCGCCCCAUUAGCUAGUUGGUGAGGUAACGGCUCACCAAGGCUACGAUGGGUAGGGGGUCUGAGAGGACUAUCCCCCACACUGGUACUGAGACACGGACCAGACUCCUACGGGAGGCAGCAGUGAGGAAUAUUGCGCAAUGGACGAAAGU